GAUGAACGCUGGCGGCGUGCCUAAUACAUGCAAGUCGAGCGAACAGACGAGGAGCUUGCUCCUCUGACGUUAGCGGCGGACGGGUGAGUAACACGUGGAUAACCUACCUAUAAGACUGGGAUAACUUCGGGAAACCGGAGCUAAUACCGGAUAAUAUAUUGAACCGCAUGGUUCAAUAGUGAAAGACGGUUUUGCUGUCACUUAUAGAUGGAUCCGCGCCGCAUUAGCUAGUUGGUAAGGUAACGGCUUACCAAGGCAACGAUGCGUAGCCGACCUGAGAGGGUGAUCGGCCACACUGGAACUGAGACACGGUCCAGACUCCUACGGGAGGCAGCAGUAGGGAAUCUUCCGCAAUGGGCGAAAGCCUGACGGAGCAACGCCGCGUGAGUGAUGAAGGUCUUCGGAUCGUAAAACUCUGUUAUUAGGGAAGAACAAAUGUGUAAUUAACUAUGCACGUCUUGACGGUACCUACUCAGAAAGCCACGGCUAACUACGUG
rnacentral:rRNA from 1 species